CUAGACUUUAUCCUAACUUGAUCUGUGUGUCUUAUUGACAGCUGGCGGCUCUGGAAUACACAGACCAAUCUCCAAAAAGCCAGAAAGUGGAGCAAACUACAAAUCUAAGAAAGGAAAAGGCGACGUGAAACAGAAAGGCAAGAACGAUCCGUUUGCAUAUAUACCUCUAAACAAAGCCACCCUUAACCGAAGCUCUUAGGAAAAAAAGCAAAGAUGCAAGGCCAGUUUAAAGGCCUGGUGAGAGCGGCACAAAGAGGGGCACAGAGUGGACUGAAAAAGAGAAAAGACAGGAGGCUUUAAGGUUUCAUCCUCAAAGUGCAAGAAUGUGUUUGAUGCAGGGUGUGUAAUGGGGAGCCAGCAACCUCUCUUGAGCCGCUCACCCCCUAGGAAGAGGUGCAUUGCUCUGCCAUUUACUCUGGGAAACUGCCUUUAUAAGGAUUACCUGGAAAACCAAGAAAAGGAGUGAUUAAUUUAUCACUUAAUCAUUGUGACAUAUAAGCUGCCAUGGAUUCUCUAUCAAAUACAACCCAUUUAAAUACAAUACCUUUUUGUAAUUUUUCGAGUGAUGCAAGUGAAAUAGUUUUCCCUUUCCUCAGGAAAUGUCAUUUUCCCACUCGGCAUUAGAGCUGUUAAUGCUACGGUGAGAUCUGCAUAUUUAGAAAAAAAAGUUUUCAUGCCUUCCAACAAUAGCAGUCAGAGAGCCAAUAUUCUAGGCUUUUUAUGAUUUUGAGUCAUGGAUCCUGAUUUAAAUCCAAGAUGAGUGGGAUGUUACAUGAAAACUGCUUUUCAGGAUGACUGUUCCCAUUGAGAUAUCUGUUAUCAAUCUCGUUUCCAACAGCACGGGGGCAUGCAGGUCACACAAAGAACAAUGGGCAACACUUAAUGGAUGAAUUGGCGCUCCUCUCUUUACCUAACAGGUCAAACCAUACAAGGCUGUAUGUGGGUUGUACCAGCAAAGAUUCAG